GAGAAUAUAGCUCAGUGAUAGAGUAUGGGCCUAGCGUACACAAGGUUCUGGGUUCAAUCCCCAGUACCUCCA
rnacentral:tRNA from 1 species